AGAGUUUGAUCCUGGCUCAGGAUGAACGCUGGCGGCGUGCUUAACACAUGCAAGUCGAACGGAAGACCACCGCCGUCAAGGCUUUGGCCGGGACAUGGUGAUCUUUAGUGGCGGACGGGUGAGUAACGCGUGGGUAACCUGCCAUAUACAGGGGGAUAACACUUAGAAAUAGGUGCUAAUACCGCAUAAGCGCACAGUUUCGCAUGGAACGGUGUGAAAAACUGAGGUGGUAUAUGAUGGACCCGCGUCUGAUUAGCUGGUUGGCGGGGUAACGGCCCACCAAGGCAACGAUCAGUAGCCGGCCUGAGAGGGUGAACGGCCACAUUGGGACUGAGACACGGCCCAAACUCCUACGGGAGGCAGCAGUGGGGAAUAUUGCACAAUGGGGGAAACCCUGAUGCAGCGACGCCGCGUGAGUGAAGAAGUAUUUCGGUAUGUAAAGCUCUAUCAGCAGGGAAGAAAAUGACGGUACCUGACUAAGAAGCCCCGGCUAACUACGUGCCAGCAGCCGCGGUAAUACGUAGGGGGCAAGCGUUAUCCGGAUUUACUGGGUGUAAAGGGAGCGUAGACGGUUAUGCAAGUCUGAAGUGAAAGCCCGCGGCUUAACCGGGGGACUGCUUUGGAACUGUAAAACUGGAGUGCAGGAGAGGUAAGUGGAAUUCCUAGUGUAGCGGUGAAAUGCGUAGAUAUUAGGAGGAACACCAGUGGCGAAGGCGGCUUACUGGACUGUAACUGACGUUGAGGCUCGAAAGCGUGGGGAGCAAACAGGAUUAGAUACCCUGGUAGUCCACGCCGUAAAC
rnacentral:rRNA from 1 species